rnacentral:rRNA from 1 species
AAAAACAUAACCUUUAGCUAAACAAAUAUUAAAGGCAACGCCUGCCCAGUGAACAAUUAAACGGCCGCGGUAUCCUAACCGUGCAAAGGUAGCAUAAUCAUUUGUCUACUAAUUAUAGACCUGUAUGAAAGGCAAAAUGAGGGUCCAACUGUCUCUUAUAAUAAAUCAAUUAAACUGAUCUCCUAGUAAAAAAGCUAGAAUAACAACAUAAGACCAGAAGACCCUGUGAAGCUUAAACUAAACUAUUAAACCAUAUAAUAAAUACUUUCGGUUGGGGCGACCUUGGAAAAAAAAAGAACUUCCAAGACCCAGCACAGCUGAUAAUUGAACCAAGUUACUCCAGGGAUAACAGCGCAAUCUUCUUCAAGAGCCCAUAUCAAAAAGAAGGUUUACGACCUCGAUGUUGGAUCAGGACAUCCUAAUGGUGCAGCCGCUAUUAAGGGUUCGUUUGUUCAACGAUUAACAGUCCUACGUGAUCUG